UUCGUGCUUCUGUGAGCUAUGUGUGAUGGCAGUUGUUUCUUCUUCUUCUUCUUCAGUUAAAAAGAAGAAACAACUGCCAUCACACAUAGCUCACAGAAGCACGAA
rfam:Ophiophagus hannah scaffold101730.1, whole genome shotgun sequence.